GGGGGUGAUUGGUCUCGACUCCGUACGUCGAGGUAGGAGAAGCGGGCCGAGGAAGGCGACGAUGAUCUCGUUAACCAUAUGUCGCAAAACAAUAAGUGCCGAGAAUACAUCUCAGCGCAGCCUCGCUCUCGCUGCCUAAGCGAGAAGCAGGCUUGUCAGACCGGGAGUGUCUCCGACUCGGACCCUGGCAUCAGUAAGGGGGCUUACCACUUCAGUUCGGUCACGGAGCUGAGUGGGACAACAAACAGUGACUGGGCCUGUCACAUCGGCUUGUUCGUAUGAUCGAUGGGGUCGAGUAAAGGCAUAACGGACUGCGCCCGGAGAAGUCCUAUUGAAGCGGCGGAGGACGCGGGUUCGAUUCCCGCCACCUCCACCC
rnacentral:tmRNA from 1 species